rnacentral:rRNA from 1 species
UACGGAGGAUCCGAGCGUUAUCCGGAUUUAUUGGGUUUAAAGGGUGCGUAGGUGGAUUGGUAAGUCAGUGGUGAAAGUUUGCAGCUUAACUGUAAAAUUGCCGUUGAUACUGGGGAGCUAGGAUUUGGUUGCUGUGGGUGGAAUGUGUGGUGUAGCGGUGAAAUGCUUAGAGAUCACACAGAAUAUCGAUUGCGAAGGCAGCUCACAAAGCCAAGAUUGACGCUGAGGCACGAAAGUGUGGGGAUCAAACAGGAUUAGA